CGGCAGUGCGCUGAUCGUGGCAGCGGUGUCAGUGGUGAUGCAACAGUGGACGUGGCACAGUGAUGGCAAUGAUAGUGGUUGUUGAGGUGGUGUGCCAGUGGUGGUGAAGGUGGUGGGGUAGAGGUGACUAGGCGGUGGUGGUCUUGUAGUAGUGGUGCUUUUGCACUGGUGGUGGUGGUGGUAGCAGUGGCGGUGGUGCAGUGGUGACAGUGGCGGUUGUGCACUCGUAGUGGUGGUGGAGGUGGU
rnacentral:lncRNA from 1 species